ACGCGAACCGCUGCUAACCUUGU
rnacentral:miRNA from 1 species